rnacentral:rRNA from 1 species
UACGUAGGGGGCGAGCGUUGUCCGGAGUUACUGGCGUAAAGGGCACGCAGGCGGUGCGGCGCGUUUCGCGUGACAGCGGAGGGCUUAACUCUCCGAGGAUGCGAAAGACGGCGGCACUUGAGGGCCAGAGAGGGACACGGAAUUCCGGGUGGAGUGGUGAAAUGCGUAGAGAUCCGGAGGAACACCAGAGGCGAAGGCGGCCUGCUG